rnacentral:rRNA from 1 species
AUUGAACGCUGGCGGCAGGCCUAACACAUGCAAGUCGAGCGGAGCGGCGGACGGGUGAGUAUUGCUUAUGAAUCUGCCUCUUCGUGGGGGAUAACGUCCGGACAUGGGAGCUGAUACCGCUACCUAUCAGAUGAGCCUAGGUCGGAGUAGCUAGUUGGUGGGGUAAAGGUCUACCAAGGCGACGAUCCGUAACUGGUCUGGGAGGAUGAUCAGUCACACUGGAACUGAGACACGGUCCAGACUCCUACGGGAGGCAGCAGUGGGGAAUAUUGGACAAUGGGCGAAAGCCUGAUGCAGCCAUGCCGCGUGUAGGAAGAAGGUCUUCGGGUUGUAAAGCACUUUAAGUUGGGAGGCGUUACCAGCAGAAUAAGCACCGGCUAACUCCGUGCCAGCAGCCGCGGUAAUUC